CAAGUCGAGCGCGUACCUUCGGGUACGAGCGGCGGACGGGUGAGUAACGCGUAGGUGAUCUACCCUUUGGUGGGGGAUAACCCAGGGAAACUUGGGCUAAUACCGCACGAGGUCUUCGGAUCAAAGCCUUCGGGCGCCAGAGGAUGAGCCUGCGUCGCAUUACCUAGUUGGUAGGGUAAUGGCCUACCAAGGGGACGAUGCGUAGCUGGUCUGAGAGGAUGAUCAGCCACACUGGGACUGAGACACGGCCCAGACUCCUACGGGAGGCAGCAGUGGGGAAUAUUGCGCAAUGGGGGAAACCCUGACGCAGCCACGCCGCGUGGGUGAUGAAGGCCUUCGGGUCGUAAAGCCCUGUCGGGAGGGACGAAUUCAUGACGGUACCUCCAAAGAAAGCACCGGCUAACUCCGUGCCAGCAGCCGCGGUAAUACGGAGGGUGCGAGCGUUGCUCGGAAUUACUGGGCGUAAAGCGUACGCAGGCUGCUGUACAAGUCGGGUGUGAAAGCCCGGGGCUCAACCCCGGAAAUGCGCCCGAGACUGUACGGCUUGAAUGCGGGAGAGGAUAGCGGAAUUCCUGGUGUAGAGGUGAAAUUCGUAGAUAUCAGGAGGAACACCUGUGGCGAAAGCGGCUAUCUGGCCCGACAUUGACGCUCAUGUACGAAAGCGCGGGGAGCAAACAGGAUUAGAUACCCUGGUAGUCCGCGCCGUAAACGAUGAGUGCUAGCUGCUGGGAAUGUUUACCGUUUCAGUGGCGAAGCUAACGCAUUAAGCACUCCGCCUGGGAAGUACGGCCGCAAGGCUAAAACUCAAAGGAAUUGACGG
rnacentral:rRNA from 1 species